GGCAGGUGAGCGGACGGCAUUCGUCGGUCUGCAAAUCCAUCGCGAAAGCUUCGAAGGUUCGAAUCCUUCACCUGCCA
rnacentral:tRNA from 1 species